rnacentral:rRNA from 1 species
UACAUGGGGUGCAAACGUUGCUCGGAAUUAUUGGGCGUAAAGGGUGCGUAGGCGGCGCGGUAAGUCGGGUGUGAAAUCUCGGAGCUUAACUCCGAAACUGCAUUCGAUACUGCCGUGCUUGAGGACUGGAGAGGAGACUGGAAUUUACGGUGUAGCGGUGAAAUGCGUAGAUAUCGUAAGGAAGACCAGUGGCGAAGGCGGGUCUCUGGACAGUUCCUGACGCUGAGGCACGAAGGUCAGGGGAGCAAACGGG